rnacentral:rRNA from 1 species
UACGUAGGGGGCGGAGCGUUGUCCGGAUUUAUUGGGCGUAAAGAGCUCGUAGGCGGUUCGAUAAGUCGGACGUGAAAUCUCCAACGGCUCAACGUGGAGGGGCCGUUCGAUACUGUCGUGACUCGAGUCCGGUAGGGGAGUGUGGAAUUCCCGGUGUAGCGGUGAAAUGCGCAGAUAUCAGGAGGAACACCCGUGGCGAAAGCGGCUCUCUGGGACGGUACUGACGCUGAGACGCGAAAGCGUGGGGAGCAAACAGG